AAGGAGUCGUCUUCGUAUGCGAGUGUUCGGGUGUAAAACCCCUACGCGUAAUGAAAGUGAACGCAGGUGAGAGCUUCGGCGCGUCACCGACCGAUCCUGAUGUUCUCGGACGGAUUUGAGUAAGAGCAUACGGGGCCGGACCCGAAAGAAGGUGAACUAUGCCUGUAUUGGGUGAAGCCAGAGGAAACUCUGGUGGAGGCUCGCAGCGGUUCUGACGUGCAAAUCGAUCGUCAAAUAUGGGCAUGGGGGCGAAAGACUAAUCGAACCUUCUAGUAGCUGGUUUCCGC
rnacentral:misc_RNA from 1 species